UCANCCAUAGUGUGCUCUGGAAACUGUNUGACUUGAGUGCAGAAGGGGAGAGUGGAAUUCCAUGUGUAGCGGUGAAAUGCGUAGAUAUAUGGAGGAACACCAGUGGCGAAAGCGGCUCUCUGGUCUGUCACUGACGCUGAGGCUCGAAAGCGUGGGUAGCGAACAGGAUUAGAUACCCUGGUAGUCCACGCCGUAAACGAUGAGUGCUAGGUGUUAGGCCCUUUCCGGGGCUUAGUGCCGGAGCUAACGCAAUAAGCACUCCGCCUGGGGAGUACGACCGCAAGGUUGAAACUCAAAGGAAUUGACGGGGGCCCGCACAAGCGGUGGAGCAUGUGGUUUAAUUCGAAGCAACGCGAAGAACCUUACCAGGUCUUGACAUCCCGAUGCUAUUCUUAGAGAUAGGAGGUUACUUCGGUACAUCGGAGACAGGUGGUGCAUGGUUGUCGUCAGCUCGUGUCGUGAGAUGUUGGGUUAAGUCCCGCAACGAGCGCAACCCUUAUUGUGAGUUGCCAUCAUUAAGUUGGGCACUCUAGCGAGACUGCCGGUAAUAAACCGGAGGAAGGUGGGGAUGACGUCAAAUCAUCAUGCCCCUUAUGACCUGGGCUACACACGUGCUACAAUGGUCGGUACAACGAGUUGCGAGCCGGUGACGGCAAGCUAAUCUCUGAAAGCCGAUCUCAGUUCGGAUUGGAGGCUGCAACUCGCCUCCAUGAAGUCGGAAUCGCUAGUAAUCGCGGAUCAGCACGCCGCGGUGAAUACGUUCCCGGGCCUUGUACACACCGCCCGUCACACCACGAGAGUUUGUAACACCCGAAGUCGGUGAGGUANCCUUUUAGGG
rnacentral:rRNA from 1 species